AAAUACCAAUAUUUCUUUAUUGAAGAUAGAAAUAAUGCACAACAUUAUACAGGAGAAAGACAAUUAUGUAAGGUCAACAGCUAUGGUUACCUAGAUACUUAUAGCCAAGAGGCUAUUAAUAAUCUCUGAAACCUUAAAUCACAAGUGAUCAUGUGAGUAAAAUAAAAGUUAAAGGCAUUAAUUCACAUCCUAUUCUCUACAGACCCAAUCACUAAUUUUAAUGCAAAUGAAAACAUUAUUUAUAAUUAAAAAUAAAAAAAACAUUUUCUUUUGAGCUGGCUGGCAUUCAUCUCCUCUAUAGGUGCCACUUGCCCUUUAGUGAAUGUCAAAAAGACUUGCUCC